ensembl:lncRNA
CCCCAGGGCACUGGGGUACACAGAUUCCCUGACCUCGAGCUGCUUCCAAGGGUCACUGCAACACCAGCGGGGCUGGGGCUGAGUUCAGGGCUGCUGUGAGCUGCAGAAACUCUUUCUCCUGACAGCUCCUGCGCUGUUCAGUUUGGAUCAGGAUGGCUCAGGCACCUUCCAGCACGGUGCUCCAGAGAGGGAGGGACAGACAGUGCCAAGGAGCCAUCCCAUGUCCAAACAACAGUCAGAUCCGGGGAACUACGAGGAAAUAGUUCAGUUGAGCAUCUCUGUUCUGUUCCCAAACGUGUCUGGAGGCAAUGGAGAUGCAGGUUCUGGAUCUGGCUCUCCUGGAGGUCACAUGGAUACAUCCUCCCUUUGGGAACUGCCAGCUCAGAGCCCAACUGUGAGCGAGGCACCUCCUGCAGGUCCAAAGAACGGGACUGAACCUGGAGACAUUUACUGGCAGUUGGAGGAAACGCUGACUGAGGUCCUGGGUGCCCUGAAGGAGAUACCUGAUGUUGUGGAGCUCGAGACUGUGGAGGUACCUCAGGAAGGCCAUCAGGAGGUGCCAUUCCCUGGGGAAAAGCCGAGGGCUGCUCAGCCCACAGGAGGGUCAGGUAAUCGCUGUCCCUGGGCCACCCGAGGGAGGAGGGUGUGGCUGUGCCAGGGACACGCUCUGGGACCCUCUGGGCAUGUGG